AAUUACAAAAGCAUGGAAUAUAAUUUGCUGCAAUUGUGUCCCGAUGACUUCCCCUUUCCAUUCCCUCCUCCACCCCCUGUUCCCUUGCCUCUACUCUACUGAUCUUUCUUCUAUUUAUUUAGAGGGUUUUUUUUUUCCCCAUUAGUGCAUCAUGGAUAUACGUAAAGGUAAAAUUCACUGUGGUAUACUCACGUAUGUACAUAGGAAAGGUUUUUUUUUGUUUGUUUGUUUUGGUACCAGAGAUUGAACUCAGGGGUCCUUGACUACUGAGCCACAUCCCAAUCCCAUUUUUGUAAUUUAUCUAGAGACAGGAUCUCACUGAGUUGCUUAGCACCUCACUUUUGCUGAGGCUGGCUUUGAACUCAAGAUCCUCCUCUCUCAGCCUCCCGAGCCACUGGGAUUACAGGCGUGUGCCACUGCCUGGCCAUAGGAAAGUUUGAUCAGAUGUGUUCCACCAUUCCUGCCUUUUGCCAUCUCCCCCCAUUAUCCCCUUCCUCUGGUCCACUGAGCUCUCUUCUAUUUUCAUGGCACCCCGUCACAUCUUGAGGUGUAUCAGCUAUCUUGUGAUUAAAAGGAAAAGUAAGAGCAAGCCAUGACAUCUAGUUGCUUAACACUAACAGCUUAAUAUCCCUGAACGUUUUUAUCUUGCGUGAAAAAUAAGCCCCUAUUUUUUCUUCUUUCUUUCUUUUUUCCCCUGGGCCUGAGGAUUCAAUUACUUACUUACUUAAUUAAUUAAUUAAUUAAUUAAUUAAUGGUGUUAGGAAACUGGGGGUUGAACAUACAAGGUUUUACCACUGAGCUACACCCCCAGCCCUUUUAUUUCGAGACAGUCUCCCUUGCUUAGGGCCUCAUUAAGUUGCUGAGGCUGACCUGGAACCUGUGAUCCUCCUGCUUCAACCUCUGGAGCAGUGAGUAGCUGGGAUCACAGGCAUGAACCACCACACUCAGCUAAAACCCUGUUGCUUAAGCCAUGCAUGUCAGAGUUCACUUGCAGACAAAAGAAAUGAAUCUGGCUAAGUUUAAGCAGAAAGGAUUGGGAAAGCAAGCUCUGUGUAGGGAGCAACUUCUGGCUUUGAGAGUCACAUGAGCCUGUGAUGAGAAAACAACAGUCCCUACUACAGGAAGCUGAUGAAUCAGGAAGCUACUCACCAGAGCCCGCCUGCUGCUGUCAUGAUUUGUGACAGCAAAGCGGAUGUCCCAAGCUAUGUUGCUCUGUUCCAAAUUUAUGUCUUGCACAAGAGCAGAACCUAAACCACAGAUUCCUUGUUUAAGAGAACCUGGGAAGUGCUGUUUUAGCUUUCUAGCUCCUGUAGUUUCGAAGAAACCCUAAAAGCAGCUUUGGAUUGAUGUUAAGCAAUCAGCCCACUACAGACAGCUUUUGGUUCCUCACAACCAAACACACUCCUAACUGCUACGCUACACAGCAAGCAACAAGGAUAGGUUUUUAGUUUGUUUAUUUGUUUUUUGCAUUACUGGGAUUGAGCCUAGGCACCUACUCUACCACUGAGCUGCAUCCUCAGGCCUUUUACAUUUUGAGAUAGGGUCUCACCAGGUUGCUGAGGCUAACCUUGAACUUGCAAUCCUCCUGCUUCUGCCUCCCAAUUAGCUGGGAUUAUAGGCAUGGGUAAGAACAGAUCUUAAAACAAGGUACUGAGUGAGACAAACAAAAAGAGCUCUGUAGUACCAUUCUUAAUGUUAGUUAAAAACAGAUACACAAAUCCAAACUAACUUUUUCAAAACAAAUGUAUAUUUUCUUGUUUUUUGGUAAUGCAAAUUGAACCGAGGAGCACUUUACCAUCCAGCCAUAUCCCCGGCUCUUUUUAAUUUUUGAGACAGGGUCUCACUAAAUUGCUUAGGUUGACUUUGAACUUUCGAUCCUCCUGCUUCAGCCUCCUGGCUGGUGGGAAUUACAGAUAUGACACCACUAUACUCAACUUUGUGUUUUUUUAAAUUUUGAGACAGGAUCCUGCUAAAUUGUGGAGUCUAGCUUGAACUUGUGAUCCUCCUUCUUCAGCCUCCCAAGUCACUGGGAUUACAUGCUUUUGCCACACACCCUGCUGAAAUGUACAUUUUUAAGGAUAUAUAAGUGCCAAUUGGUAAGGGGAGGAGGAAAAAUUGGAACCAGGACCAAGGAUGAAAGGGAA
rnacentral:lncRNA from 1 species